rnacentral:tRNA from 1 species
GUUGUCGUGGCCGAUUGGUUAAGGCGAUAGCCUCAAAAUCUUUUGGGAUCUUUCCGCGCAGGUUCGAAUCCUAUCGAAAACG